CAACUCACGUGCUCAUAUUCGCAUACACGCGGCAGAGGGCGGAACAUCAUCGUCGAAAUCACCCACAGAGCGAAUAGUGCGCCCACCCCUUACGCCAACUGGCGCGUGAAAGUAACGCGCACCCAGCGAGGCAGGAGCGUGCAGAACAAAGUGCAGCUCACAGAUACCCCCGUAGAACUGAAUUCCCCCCUCCCCUCCCCUCCCCUCCCCCUCCCUCUUUCUCUGCGAGCGCGUGUGCUGGAGUAGGGGCGUCUCCCGCGCAUCUGCGUCGGUGUCCUUCUUGGUGCCCUCUCGCAUUCCUCAUCCCGCACACACGCGCACACUGCCUCGCUGUUUGCGCGGUCCUUGUUGCCCGCUCUUUAAUCCUUGGCGAAUAUUUUCUGUCGUUGGUGCGGGUCGGCGCUCUUGUCGUUCUUGUCGCUCGUAGUGCUGACGUACGUCUGUCCGCGCCUGUGCGCGAUUUCUGGGCGCGUGCGGCAUCCACCGGCCAGCAGCAGCGCUGGUGCGCAGCUCCCCUCGUGUAAAACGAACAGGCAGUUGACACGGCGCCUGCACACGGCUUCAUACGCUAGCUAUGUACGGUGGUUAUUACGUGAUGGGUUCUGGCAUGCACCAGGGCGGCGGCUACGGCGGCGGCCCUAUGAUGCAGCAGCAGCAGCGAUGCCAGCAUCCACAGCUGCAACAGAAUGCCCAGCAACCACCACCGCCGCCGCAUGUGCAGGCGCGCCUACGCGGUUCUGGCCGGGGUGUCCCACCAGGCCACCCGCCCACGGUCGCUGGCGGCGGCAGUCCGGGCCAGCUAAACCGCAAUCCGAGCUUCAUGAUGAUGUACAACGACCGCAACUUUGGCCAGCCGAAUCCGAUGCUGCAGCGCAUGGGCUCCUUCCACUCGAUGGGGUCGACAGGCGUGAUCCCCCGCUUUGGCAGCUUCAGCGCGCACGGCUGCGGCGGCAGCCAGCCCCAGCGCCGCGGGAGCUUCUCUUCGAUCGGUACCAGCGCCGGCAGCCUGCGCCGCGUCAACAGCGGCUUGAACUUCGACUACUCGACCGGCUCGCAGGUCCACAGAGGAGGCCCGCUCAUGCGCACCAACAGCUACGGCAGCAUGCACCAGGGCGGUGGAAGUUUCUUCGGCGGCAGCGCAGCCCCGAGUGGCGGCGGUCGGCCUCUUCAGCAGCUCAGUCGGCAGAACAGCACCCUGUGCUCAUACAGCUACGGUAGCUUCCGACAGCCGAGUUUUACGCAGGGUAACGUUCACAACGGUGCCACCGGCGUCGGCCCGGGGGUGUCGCUGAAUAGCAUAAACGGCAUGCUCAAGCUCGCCGACUCUGGUUCUAGCAGCGCUGGUAGUCCCUCCACGGCUGCCGCACCCCGCGGCGACAUCGGGGCAACGGUUGCUGCGGGCGUUCCCCUGGAGUCGCCGGCGCCAGGCCUUGCUCGCCAGGACAGCGCCAGGUCGCUUCAGCGCAAGUACUCUAUUUCUGGUCAGUUCUACAACUACGGCAGCAGCAACAACAACGGUGGCGGUGUUGACCAGUGCGCUGCGGCCCCGGUGUUGCAGCACCGUCUCUCACAGCUUCUGCCCGGAGGCGGCCCAAUAAUGGGCGACGGUGGCGGCAUGAUGGCACUAAACGCGCUCACGGCAACGAUUGGGCAACGCGGCGGUGCUGGUGUCAUGACGAAGCAGAGGCAGCACCACAUGAUGAUGCAGCAGCAGGCGCGCAUGAGCGCGGCUGGCGACGGCAGCGGCGUUGCUGCCUCGGACGCGCCACCGUCGAAGGGGACGUCGGAGAACACGACGGUGGCGGAGGGCCAACCGCAGGUGCUGGGGCGCAAGAACAGUGUGCAGAACUUGACGCGUAAAAACAGCGAGAAGCGCGUUGGGAUGUACUUCAAGAAUAGGGCCGCAGAGCAAGACGGCGUGCAGUACAAGAAGGACGGCGACCCGGGCACCUCUGGCAAAAACAACUCCGGCGAACGCGACCCGUCGCUGACAAACACGCUGAAGGCUUCCCUCUUGCUGGACACCUCCGGCGGCCGGAGCCCCGCGAUCGAGGUGGACGGCCGCACCAUCCGCGCCAGCAAGCCUGGCGCCGAGGAAGUACAGAAGUACGACAUGCGCGAUAUCAUGUAUGUCAAUCGCAACACCGACGUCCAGCUCUCAAGCGACUCGCUAGAGGAGAUGCGAGAUAACUUUCUGUACGGUUGCAACAUCGGCAUGAUCAUGGCCGAUGCUGGCUUCUCCGCUGCGCGGCCGACGGAGUGGUUUACGUGGCUGGCCUUGAAGUCCGUGGUGAAGGGCAGCUUUGGCAAGCUGGCCUCUACGCAGUUCGAGUUUACCGUGUCAGUGUGCCUUCUGCAGGAUGAUCAGGUGAUGGACCUGCUGUCCGAUCCGCCGCAACGCUUCAUGAACUUGACCGUCGCGGAGAGCCCAUUGUUUGGUAACGUGGCCAACGGCAUGGUGUACGUCUGCGUCGAGGAUGCCGGCGAGUUCAACGAUGUGCUGGACGCGAGCCUGCACUGCGCGCAGGAGCACUGCAGUCCCUUGGCCGAGGAGCAGGGCAUCGUCCUGUGCACAUGCGUGCUGAAACAGGUCAAGACCUCGCAAUCCUCCGGCAAGGAGGACGUUAUUGUUUCGUCCAUCUUCGCGAGCGGCGUCGGUGACGGCGUCAUUCACUACAACCGCAUCAUUGACAAGAACCCGGCUGAGCCGCGGGCACUCUUCUACUCCGUCAUGCACCGCUCCGUGCACUCGACGGCGCUAUUCUCGUGCGCUAUGCAUGAUGAUGAGAUUUUCAACUACCUUGCGACGCUGCAGCGUUUCUCCAAGAUCGAGACGCGCCGCCCAAAGGUGGGCAGCGCUCGGGCCUUCGUCGCCUACGGCACUAGCACAAUACCAAGGAUCCGCGAAGAACUCAAGGAGACCAAGGAUGCCCGCCAGCGGGCCAUGAUGCAGCGGCAGCUGGAGAAGCUGGAGCUGAUGGUGGUGGAUGCAGAGGACAUGCUUCGGUCACCGGCGGAUUGCGUGCCCAAGACGUACAUUUAGGCGAGCGAGUGGAGUGUGUAACGGAGAUGGUCGCAUGCGAGGUAAUGCUGCGCCUCCAUCUCUUCAGAGACAGAUGCACACCACGUGAACCGGCUCGAUCAAGGAGGCGCUGCUCCUCUUUCCCUCAGCUCUCCCUCCCGCAUCUGCAGUUCUGGUGAUGGACGAGCGCGCUUGUGUGGGAGUACGCUUGCGUGAGGUGCUGGCAUGAGCCGGACUUGUUUGUGGCCAUCUCUUCCGCGCCUCUUCCCACGUGUCCCGCCGGUGCACAGGCGUGCUGUGUAACACAAUACUCUGCCGUGUUGUUUCGUUAUCCUGCGCUGAUCUCUUCAUGCUUUCACGUGUUUCUCCCCCUCCCUUUUCUUCUUUUCCCUUCAUGAGACGUGUGUGCGUGUGUUGUGCUCUGUUUCGGCGCGCUUUUGCGGUGUCGUCGUGCCGAUGUCCAUCCUGUUCACUCCCUCGGUCUUGUUGGUUCCUUUCACCAUGUAUUCUUUCGUUGUCUGUGUGCGCGUGCGUCUCCGCGUGGGCGGUCCCCGCUCCCCAUGUGUCUAUGCUUUUCUGCGAUGAUGAUGUAUGCCUCCCUUUUUCGGCAGUGUUGCUGGCGUUGUUACUCAUUCGCCGCCACUCGUCCUCUCUUUUUCUUUUUUUUGUUGAAUGCUGCCGUUGUUGUUGUGGGACAGGGGUACACACACACACACACACACAAACGCACAGAGGCAUUACUCUUGUGUUCCUCUUUGACCAGGGGACGCGGCAGCAGCUACGGCAGCGAACAGCAGACAGCAGAGCAGAGGAUAAUUAAGGGAAGUGGCGUCGACCAUUGGUGUGGACGUUCUUCUGUGGCGUGCGCGUUAUGUAGCUAUACCUUUUUUUAUGCUUGCGUGUGUUCCAUCCUGCUUGUGCCACGUACUCUCCCCCACCCCCGCUCCCCAUUUCUUCCCCUCGCUGUGCGCGUAUCGGCCGAAGCGAUGCAGUGGGUGGUUUGAAGAGAGGGAGUGCGUGAUGGCGUGUGCGUGGGUGCCCUUUUGUGUGUAUACCCUUUCGCCUUCUCGCUGUCUUUUUUCCAGUAAUUUGUUUUCGCUUCUCCGUCUGCAGCUGUUGCCUCCCCCCUUCACCCUUGAUCGUGUUCUCAUCGCCUCUCUCCCUAUUCCAAGUGUGUCGACACGCGCUCGAAGUCCAUGUGUCGGGAAACGCCUGCCCUCUUUGCCCUUGUCUCUCUCUCUCACACCCUCACAUCAUCAGCUGAGAAUGAUGAUGUGGUUGCUCACCGCACUUCAGCUCUUUGUGUUUCGCUCUCUCUCUCUCUGUGUGUGUGUGUGCACGUGCUUGGACUCGUUGCCAUCGCCACCGGUUUCUGCGCUUCUCGUUGAUGCUCCCCUUUCCCUCCUCCUUCCCACCCCCAAGCACACCGCAGACACACGGACAAGGAGCACGGAGAGGGAGACAAGCCAUGAUGCACAGGAAUAGCUCUCUUCUCAGUUGUCGACUGAGUGCCUUGGCGCGUCUUAAUCUCCGCUUGGAUGACUUUUACGGGACAGAGAGUACGCCCCCUUCUUCCCACCCUGAAACACAUACACGCACACACGCACACACGCACACACGCACACACGCACAAACAUGCACACGCAUCAGUUUCUUGGUUGUAGGGCUGCGCCGCUGCCGACUUGUGCAGGCCCUUUCCCCUCUCAGUUUCCAGUCGAUGCACCGUUGCUGGCCGUCUUCCCCUCCUGGUGGUGUCUUGCAUGUAUGUUUUUCUUUUGCGCUUUCCACUUGCCGUGCUUUGGUGUCCGUGUGGUGACUGUGCUGGGCCCUUCUCCUCCGCCCCCUCCGAGCUGCUCUUUCUCUGCAUGUUCAGAGAGCGUCGCCCCGCCCUGCGCGCCUCGUCUCCCGUGUGUUUGCAUCUCUCCUUCCUUCUUUUCCAAGGAUGACGAGGCGAGACGACGACGGACCGCAGCCCAAGUAGGUAUUUGCUUGCACCCAACGGCUGCCGUCCCACGUUGCCGAUUUUUCUUGUUUCCCUUCGCGCCGUGCUCAUGCCUGCGCGCAUGGGCUCUGCCCCCCCCCCCCCCCCCCCCCCCCCACGCGUCUCUCUCCCUCUGUCUGCGUCUGUCUUCUUCCCUCCCAG
rnacentral:misc_RNA from 1 species